GAAAUGCGAUAAGUAAUGUGAAUUGCAGAAUUCCGUGAAUCAUCGAAUCUUUGAACGCACAUUGCGCCCUCUGGUAUUCCGGGGGGCAUACCUGUCCGAGCGUCAUUGCGAACCCCUCAAGCACGGCUUGUGUGAUGGGCCCUCCCGCGUCUUGGUCGUCAAGACGGGCCCGAAAUGCAGUGGCGGCUUCGCGGUUAUCCGAUCAGCCAGAGCGUAUGGGGACUUUCUCUCUGUCACACGCCCGCGGCGCGGACCGACGCCUGUCGACCUUUAUUCAUCUUUUUCUCGGUUGACCUCGGAUCAGGUAGGGAUACCCGCUGAACUUAAGC
rnacentral:misc_RNA from 1 species